rnacentral:rRNA from 1 species
CAUGGUUAAGUGGGAAACGAUGUGGGAAGGCCCAGACAGCCAGGAUGUUGGCUUAGAAGCAGCCAUCAUUUAAAGAAAGCGUAAUAGCUCACUGGUCGAGUCGGCCUGCGCGGAAGAUGUAACGGGGCUAAACCAUGCACCGAAGCUGCGGCAGCGACGCUUAUGCGUUGUUGGGUAGGGGAGCGUUCUGUAAGCCUGUGAAGGUGUGCUGUGAGGUAUGCUGGAGGUAUCAGAAGUGCGAAUGCUGACAUAAGUAACGAUAAAGCGGGUGAAAAGCCCGCUCGCCGGAAGACCAAGGGUUCCUGUCCAACGUUAAUCGGGGCAGGGUGAGUCGACCCCUAAGGCGAGGCCGAAAGGCGUAGUCGAUGGGAAACAGGUUAAUAUUCCUGUACUUGGUGUUACUGCGAAGGGGGGACGGAGAAGGCUAUGUUGGCCGGGCGACGGUUGUCCCGGUUUAAGCGUGUAGGCUGGUUUUCCAGGCAAAUCCGGAAAAUCAAGGCCGAGGCGUGAUGACGAGGCACUACGGUGCUGAAGCAACAAAUGCCCUGCUUCCAGGAAAAGCCUCUAAGCAUCAGGUAACAUCAAAUCGUACCCCAAACCGACACAGGUGGUCAGGUAGAGAAUACCAAGGCGCUUGAGAGAACUCGGGUGAAGGAACUAGGCAAAAUGGUGCCGUAACUUCGGGAGAAGGCACGCUGAUACGUAGGUGAAGCGACUUGCUCGUGGAGCUGAAAUCAGUCGAAGAUACCAGCUGGCUGCAACUGUUUAUUAAAAACACAGCACUGUGCAAACACGAAAGUGGACGUAUACGGUGUGACGCCUGCCCGGUGCCGGAAGGUUAAUUGAUGGGGUUAGCGCAAGCGAAGCUCUUGAUCGAAGCCCCGGUAAACGGCGGCCGUAACUAUAACGGUCCUAAGGUAGCGAAAUUCCUUGUCGGGUAAGUUCCGACCUGCACGAAUGGCGUAAUGAUGGCCAGGCUGUCUCCACCCGAGACUCAGUGAAAUUGAACUCGCUGUGAAGAUGCAGUGUACCCGCGGCAAGACGGAAAGACCCCGUGAACCUUUACUAUAGCUUGACACUGAACAUUGAGCCUUGAUGUGUAGGAUAGGUGGGAGGCUUUGAAGUGUGGACGCCAGUCUGCAUGGAGCCGACCUUGAAAUACCACCCUUUAAUGUUUGAUGUUCUAACGUGGACCCGUGAUCCGGGUUGCGGACAGUGUCUGGUGGGUAGUUUGACUGGGGCGGUCUCCUCCUAAAGAGUAACGGAGGAGCACGAAGGUUGGCUAAUCCUGGUCGGACAUCAGGAGGUUAGUGCAAUGGCAUAAGCCAGCUUGACUGCGAGCGUGACGGCGCGAGCAGGUGCGAAAGCAGGUCAUAGUGAUCCGGUGGUUCUGAAUGGAAGGGCCAUCGCUCAACGGAUAAAAGGUACUCCGGGGAUAACAGGCUGAUACCGCCCAAGAGUUCAUAUCGACGGCGGUGUUUGGCACCUCGAUGUCGGCUCAUCACAUCCUGGGGCUGAAGUAGGUCCCAAGGGUAUGGCUGUUCGCCAUUUAAAGUGGUACGCGAGCUGGGUUUAGAACGUCGUGAGACAGUUCGGUCCCUAUCUGCCGUGGGCGCUGGAGAACUGAGGGGGGCUGCUCCUAGUACGAGAGGACCGGAGUGGACGCAUCACUGGUGUUCGGGUUGUCAUGCCAAUGGCACUGCCCGGUAGCUAAAUGCGGAAGAGAUAAGUGCUGAAAGCAUCUAAGCACGAAACUUGCCCCGAGAUGAGUUCUCCCUGACCCUUUAAGGGUCCUGAAGGAACGUUGAAGACGACGACGUUGAUAGGCCGGGUGUGUAAGCGCAGCGA